rnacentral:rRNA from 1 species
UACGUAGGGGCAAGCGUUGUCCGGAAUUAUUGGGCGUAAAGAGCGCGUAGGCGGUCCGGUAAGUCUGCCGUGAAAGCCAGGGGCUCAACCCUUGGAUGCCGGUGGAUACUGUCGGGCUAGAGUCCGGAAGAGGCGAGUGGAAUUCCUGGUGUAGCGGUGGAAUGCGCAGAUAUCAGGGAGAACACCGGUGGCGAAGGCGGCUCUCUGGGCCUUACCUGACGCUGAGGAGCGAAAGCGUGGGUAGCGAACAGGAUUAGAAACCCUAGUAGU